CGAGCGUCGAUGGUAUUCCGUGCCGCGGGAAUUAUUAUUAUUUUUUUUUAUUUUUAUUGUUUUUCUACGUUAUAUACCUACCUAUAUACGCGCGGUAGCCGGUUACGCACACGCGGCCGUCUACACAUUCAAUAAGUAUAAAGACACUCGCACCAAUGACGUCAAUGGUGACCUUAAUGACAGAUGCGGCCGACAUAACGCACACAGCUCCAUAAUCUCCUUCUCCGUA